AUAGUACUGCCACCGGGUAGGGAAUGUUAAAGCAUUCGUUUACGCAUCGUUAGGUCUUUGAAGAUGCGUAUUCGGGUGCUUUUUUGGA
rnacentral:ncRNA from 1 species